GAUGAACGCUGGCUACAGGCUUAACACAUGCAAGUCGAGGGGAAACGACGGGGAAGCUUGCUUCCCCGGGCGUCGACCGGCGCACGGGUGAGUAACGCGUAUCCAACCUGCCUCUGACUGAGGGAUAACCCGUCGAAAGUCGGCCUAAUACCUCAUGGCAUCGUCUGCGGGCAUCCAACGACGAUUAAAGAUUUCAUCGGUCAGGGAUGGGGAUGCGUCUGAUUAGCUUGUUGGCGGGGUAACGGCCCACCAAGGCUACGAUCAGUAGGGGUUCUGAGAGGAAGGUCCCCCACAUUGGAACUGAGACCCGGUCCAAACUCCUACGGGAGGCAGCAGUGAGGAAUAUUGGUCAAUGGGCGGGAGCCUGAACCAGCCAAGUAGCGUGCAGGAUGACGGCCCUAUGGGUUGUAAACUGCUUUUAUGCGGGGAUAAAGUGAGGGACGUGUCCUUCAUUGCAGGUACCGCAUGAAUAAGGACCGGCUAAUUCCGUG
rnacentral:rRNA from 1 species